UACAGAGGUCCCAAGCGUUGCUCGGAAUCACUGGGCGUAAAGGGCGCGUAGGCGGACUUUUAAGUCGGGGGUGAAAGCCCAGGGCUCAACCCUGGAAUUGCCUUCGAUACUGGGAGUCUUGAGUUCGGAAGAGGUUGGUGGAACUGCGAGUGUAGAGGUGAAAUUCGUAGAUAUUCGCAAGAACACCGGUGGCGAAGGCGGCCAACUGGUCCGAUACUGACGCUGAGGCGCGAAAGCGUGGGGAGCAAACAGG
rnacentral:rRNA from 1 species